UUUGGAUCAAUGAUGAUUAGAUUAAUUACUGUGUUAUCUUUCUAGAAUUUCCAGAUUAUAUGGGAUUGAAGAAGAUUUUUCUAACUGAGAUCCAAU
rfam:Capsicum annuum cultivar Zunla-1 chromosome 7, whole genome shotgun sequence